rnacentral:rRNA from 1 species
UGGGGGAUAUUGCACAAUGGAGGAAACUCUGAUGCAGCGACGCCGCGUGAGGGAAGAAGGUCUUCGGAUUGUAAACCUCUGUCUUUGGGGACGAAUAAAAUGACGGUACCCAAGGAGGAAGCCACGGCUAACUACGUGCCAGCAGCCGCGGUAAUACGUAGGUGGCAAGCGUUGUCCGGAUUUACUGGGUGUAAAGGGUGCGUAGGCGGGUUAUCAAGUUGGAUGUGAAAUCUCCGUGCUUAACGCGGAGGCUGCAUUCAAAACUGGUAAUCUUGAGUGAGGUAGAGGCAGGCGGAAUUCCCGGUGUAGCGGUGAAAUGCGUAGAGAUCGGGAGGAACACCAGUGGCGAAGGCGGCCUGCUGGGCCUUAACUGACGCUGAUGCACGAAAGCAUGGGUAGCAAACAGG